AGCGUAAGAGUGACUUUAUGUAAAUAAAAAAUUUGCAUAUCAUUUGCAUACGUCAACAGCGAAUAAAACUUCACUUCCCGCCGCUGCAAGACAGUGCAAUCUUUUGGGUGGAGAAAAGAAACGGGGAUGCCCAUGCCGGUGAGUAGGAAGCAUCGACAUUGAGGGCUCCGAAAGGACUGGAGAAGAGUGUAAGCGCAAAUGGCAGAAGAUUGAAUCAAAGGCUCCGAGAGUACGAGCCUCAAGUUAACAGGAGGUAGACCAGCAACACCAAUGUCUUUCAUUGACUCCCUAGUCCUCGAGAUGCUGGAUACAGAGGUUGUAACUUGUUGACGGCAUCUAGAGCUCACAGAGGCAGGAUUUGACAUUGAGGAGGAUAAUGCUGCUACCAGCAUGCUGGAGGACGUCAUUGGAGGUGUAGAGGAAGAGGAAGGGGCCUUGGAUGAAGGAGAGGCAGUAGAGAAUCUAGAAGAGAAGGAGGAGGGGGGGGGGGGGGGGGGGGGGGGGGGAGACGCUGCACAAGUUGUGAAGCGUAUUUGUACAGCCGAGGCUUGUUGAAGUGGGGGAAGAGCGGAAUUUGAGCUUGCAGGAUAUCCUGCAUGUGCUCCAGGAGCAUUUGUAUUUUUAAAUUGUUUUUCAUUGUUCUUAUUAUUUGUAAAGGAUUUUGAAAACAAAUGUUUUCUAUGACGCAAGAUCAAAUUUGGCUCUUCCUUCACUUCGACAAGCCUCCUGUUUUACCAAUACAAAAAUUGAAUGUUGAGUACAUUUAAAAAAUGAUUUUAAUUCCCUCGGCAAUAUUCGUCUUCAUACACAAUCGUUUCAAAAUAAUUUUGCAGUAAUGAGUUUUAAUGACAUCCGCUUUAACCUCAGUAUACAAUUUGAGUGCAAUGCCUUUCCAAUUUUGAGGGAAAUUCCUUGAUAGAAGUUCUUUGCCAUAAGAGUAAACUUGAUGAAAUUUUUGAGCCAAAGAUAAGUAGAUUGUAAAUGAGAAGCGAGGAGAUUUUUUUUUUUUGUGUGGUCACUUUGGUCUUAAUAUUUGAACAGGGUUUUUCUAAUGCCAAAGAGGUAGCCUUGGAUUAUCAUCUAAUUGGGGAAAGGGUGUUUAAAAAUGAGGCCCACUACCUGUAAUGGUUUCCCUGUUGCAGGCAAAAACAAAUUCUAUAGAUCAUGAGUUACACCACUUUGUAUUUUCUGUCUGCUAAAGAGACACAGCACCUUUAAAGUUGGUAGCCCUCAUUUGCACACCCUCCCCAAAAUAUAAUAUUGCAUGGGUAAAGCUCUUUGGCAUGAGAAUACACGAUACACUCCAUGGAAUUUGAUGAAAGGAAUGCAAAUGAGAGCUGCUGCCUUGAAGAGGAGUUUUUAGUUGGUAGCCAUUAACUACGUGUUAACUUUAUAUUAAAAUGAGCUGGGAAGGACACAUUAGCAUUUGUACACAUCAAUAUCCUGCUUCUUGUAAUGGCCAGCAUUAAAGUGAUUCAGUCUGUACUCGGCACAAAACGACUGUCCAGUACAAGGGUCUGAAAUAUCAGACUAUUUUGUAGUUGUUAUUUUUCCUUCUCCACUUGUAGAUAUAACUCCACCUUGAGGCUAGUAUCAAUUCUAAACUUUUAAGAGGCGAUUUUAGUUGGUAUUGCUCUUCAAACCAUAAGAUUUGCACCAUACUUUCAGAGCAGUUUUUAGAUGCUAUUACCUCUUGUUUACAAUCUGAUUUACACACAAUUAUAUUUUCAGCCUACAAAAGGGACAGUUACACUGUAGGUCAUUAUCAAGCAAAAUAAACACUAAGAUAAUUUAAAAUAAAUACAAAAAUUGUGUGGAAUUAUUUUAAAGUUUUUCCUGUGCAUUUACUGAUGAGAUGUACAACUUUAAUAUUUGACAAAGUACAUAAAUACUUUAGUACAUUGUGUUGAUUUACCUGUGGACUUGCUGUUUUACUGACAUUUUGAUGCAAUAAUCCUUGUUGGAAUUUACAUUAUUGAAUGUUUAUUUUUUUUAUUAUGUUUGCUUCAAUAUAAAAAUGUAUAUUUAUUUGUUCUUCUUUUCAUUCAGAUAUUUUAAAUUAAAAUAAGAUAUUUCAUUGUGACAUUUGUUACUUAUAUACACCAUUGUUUAUUUUAAUACCAACGUAAAUUAUUCUCAGUUGAGUUAUAUUUACUGCCUUAAUGUGCUAUAAAUAUCUGAAAUAUAUCUGUUACAUCCAUUCGAA